rnacentral:rRNA from 1 species
ACUUCGGUCACACAUAGGUUAGCGGCGGACGGCUGAGUAACACGUGAGUAACUUGCCUUUUGGUGGGGUAUAGCCCAGAGAAAUCUGGAUUAAUCCCGCAUAAGAUCCUAGAACCCUGGUUCUUUGAUGAAAGCCUUCGGGCGCCGAAAGAGAGGCUCGCGGACUAUCAGGUAGUUGGUGGGGUAAUGGCCUACCAAGCCUAAGACGGUUAGCUGGUCUGAGAGGAUGAUCAGCCAGAGGGGGACUGAGACACGGCCCCCACUCCUACGGGAGGCAGCAGCAGGGAAUCUUGGGCAAUGGACGAAAGUCUGACCCAGCGACAUCGCGUGGAGGAUGACGGCCUUAGGGUUGUAAACUCCUUUUAUAAGAGAAGAGUAAGGACGGUACCUUAUGAAUAAGCCCCGGCUAACUACGUGCCAGCAGCCGCGGUAAUACGUAGGGGGCGAGCGUUACCCGGAAUCACUGGGCGUAAAGAGAGCGUAGGCGGUUUGGAAAGUCAUUUGUGAAAGCUCCUGGCUCAACUAGGAGAGGUCAAGUGAAACUUCCUGACUUGAGGACGGUAGAGGUAAGCGGAAUUCUUGGUGUAGCGGUGAAAUGCGUAGAUAUCAAGAAGAACACCAGAGGCGAAGGCGGCUUACUGGGCCGUUUC